CCUACGGGUGGCAGCAGUGGGGAAUAUUGGACAAUGGGCGAAAGCCUGAUCCAGCCAUGCCGCGUGUGUGAAGAAGGCCUUCGGGUUGUAAAGCACUUUCAGUGGGGAAGAAAGCCUUGGGGCUAAUACCCUCGAGGAAGGACAUCACCCACAGAAGAAGCACCGGCUAACUCCGUGCCAGCAGCCGCGGUAAUACGGAGGGUGCGAGCGUUAAUCGGAAUUACUGGGCGUAAAGCGCGCGUAGGCGGUCUGAUAAGCUGGUUGUGAAAGCCCCGGGCUCAACCUGGGAACGGCAUCCGGAACUGUCAGGCUAGAGUGCAGGAGAGGAAGGUAGAAUUCCCGGUGUAGCGGUGAAAUGCGUAGAGAUCGGGAGGAAUACCAGUGGCGAAGGCGGCCUUCUGGACUGACACUGACGCUGAGGUGCGAAAGCGUGGGUAGCAAACAGGAUUAGAUACCCGUGUAGUC
rnacentral:rRNA from 1 species